AGAGUUUGAUUAUGGCUCAGAACGAACGCUGGCGGCGCGUUUUAAGCAUGCAAGUCGAGCGGCAAGGGUCUUCGGGCCCCUAGAGCGGCGGACGGGUGAGUAACACGUGGACAAUCUGCCCCCCGGCCGGGGAUAGCCCAGGGAAACCUGGAUUAAUACCGGAUGAGACGGGACCCGCGGAGGCGGGAUCCGGGAAAGGCGCUGCGGCGCCGCCGGGGGAUGAGUCUGCGUCCCAUUAGCUUGACGGCGGGGUAACGGCUCACCGUGGCGACGAUGGGUAGCCGGCCUGAGAGGGUGUACGGCCACAUUGGAACUGAGACACGGCCCAGACUCCUACGGGAGGCAGCAGCUAAGAAUCUUCCGCAAUGGGCGAAAGCCUGACGGAGCGACGCCGCGUGAACGAAGAAGGCCGUGAGGUUGUGAAGUUCUUUUCGGGAGGGGGAACAACCAUGGCAGGGAAUGGCCGCGGGAUGACGUGAAUCCCGGAAUAAGCCCCGGCUAACUACGUGCCAGCAGCCGCGGUAACACGUAGGGGGCGAGCGCUGUUCGGAAUCAUUGGGCGUAAAGGGCGUGCAGGCGGUCCUGCAAGUCCGGCGUGAAAGACCCCGGCCCAACCGGGGGGCGCGCUGGAAACUGCAGGGCUUGAGUACAGGAGGGGAUGCCGGAAUUCCAGGUGUAGGGGUGAAAUCUGUAGAUAUCUGGAGGAACACCAAUGGCGAAGGCAGGCAUCUGGCCAUGUACUGACGCUGAGACGCGAAGGUGCGGGGAGCAAACAGGAUUAGAUACCCUGGUAGUC
rnacentral:rRNA from 1 species